rnacentral:misc_RNA from 1 species
AGAAGUCGACCACAAGUCACAAAUCCUCAGACAAGCUUCCUUGAACCUCCGAAUUUCAACAGCAAUCCUCAUGAUUAUUAUGAUAAUUUCUCUGACAGAAGUCUAGAUGAGCAAGAGCAAGAGCACGAGCACAAGCACGUUGACCUGAGGAAUUCUAAUAGGCUGGCCAAUACCUUCUUCAUGGACGAUUCGGUUGGAGACUUCAACCUUCCUUUUGAUGAUAUUUACAGAAGGCCCUCAGGAAACCCCACAAGAAAAUUAGAUCCUUCAGAUCUUGUUUGAUUUCAAUCUCUUAACAACACUAGGAAAUGUUAUGAAUUC